AACGAACGCUGGCGGCAUGCCUAACACAUGCAAGUCGAACGAGACCUUCGGUUCUAGUGGCGCACGGGUGCGUAACGCGUGGGAACCUGCCCUUAUGUUCGGAAUAAAACCCCUAAAGGGGUGCUAAUACCGGAUAAUGUCUUCGGACCAAAGAUUUAUCGCCUUUGGAUGGGCCCGCGUUGGAUUAGCUAGUUGGUAGGGUAAAAGCCUACCAAGGCGACGAUCCAUAGCUGGUCUGAGAGGAUGAUCAGCCACACUGGGACUGAGACACGGCCCAGACUCCUACGGGAGGCAGCAGUGGGGAAUAUUGGAAAAUGGGCGAAAGCCUGAUCCAGCAAUGCCGCGUGAGUGAUGAAGGCCUUAGGGUUGUAAAGCUCUUUUACCCGGGAUGAUAAUGACAGUACCGGGAGAAUAAGCGCCGGCUAACUCCGUG
rnacentral:rRNA from 1 species